rnacentral:rRNA from 1 species
UGGGGAAUUUUGGACAAUGGGCGAAAGCCUGAUCCAGCAAUGCCGCGUGUGUGAAGAAGGCCUUCGGGUUGUAAAGCACUUUUGUCCGGAAAGAAAUCCUUGGCUCUAAUACAGUCGGGGGAUGACGGUACCGGAAGAAUAAGCACCGGCUAACUACGUGCCAGCAGCCGCGGUAAUACGUAGGGUGCAAGCGUUAAUCGGAAUUACUGGGCGUAAAGCGUGCGCAGGCGGUUUGCUAAGACCGAUGUGAAAUCCCCGGGCUCAACCUGGGAACUGCAUUGGUGACUGGCAGGCUAGAGUAUGGCAGAGGGGGGUAGAAUUCCACGUGUAGCAGUGAAAUGCGUAGAGAUGUGGAGGAAUACCGAUGGCGAAGGCAGCCCCCUGGGCAAUACUGACGCUCAUGCACGAAAGCGUGGGGGAGCAAACAGGAUUAGAUACCCCUGGUAGUCCACGCCCUAAACGAUGUCAACUAGUUGUUGGGGAUUCAUUUCCUUAGUAACGUAGCUAACGCGUGAAGUUGACCGCCUGGGGAGUACGGUCGCAAGAUUAAAACUCAAAUGAAUUGACGGGGUCAUAGCUGUUUCCU